UACAGAGGGUGCGAGCGUUAAUCGGAGUUACUGGGCGUAAAGGGCGCGUAGGCGGUUGAGUAUGUGUGAUGUGAAAGCCCCGGGCUUAACCUGGGAAGUGCAUCGCAAACUGCUUGACUAGAGUAUAUGAGAGGGUGGCGGAAUUUCCGGUGUAGCGGUGAAAUGCGUAGAGAUCGGAAGGAACGUCGAUGGCGAAGGCAGCCACCUGGCAUAAUACUGACGCUGAGGCGCGAAAGCGUGGGGAGCGAACAGG
rnacentral:rRNA from 1 species